UCCGUGUUUUCUUUUUGUUUACUGCUUUUGACUCGUCUCUUUUCCGCUUUUGGUCCGUGUUUCACUGUUUCUUUUGUUUAAUUUUCUUUUUUCUCUCUUCUGAUUGUUGGCUGUGUUUUUCUUAUUUUUUCCUCUCGAUUCUUCUCGUUUCUUGUUUAUUUUCUGGGCUUGUUAGUCCUGCCGUGGAUGCUUUCACCCUUUGGUUUCUUGGCUGCCUAGGUGUAUCGAUAGUGGAAAGACCUAAAAAUGAGUUGAUUACAACAACGGAGGAGAUAAACAAGUUAUUGGCGAGACUGCACUGCCAAGAGCUAUAAGGAUUUUUUGCUGGAACUGUCGUGGGAUUGGUAACCCUGCGACAGUUCGUG
rnacentral:lncRNA from 1 species